AUGAUGAAGAUGAAGGUGAGAAAGGUUGAUCGUGAAAAAGAGAAUGCAAUGGGUGAAGAAUGGAGUAUGAUUGAUGUAUUCUCUAGAAUGGUGAAGGUUAUGGAGAAUAUGGUUAGGGAAAAUGGUUGUUUGGAAUUGGUUAUUUGGUUAAAUUCUAAACUGGUUUUCUGUAUUGCUUUAUGCAGGCAUAGAUCAUGGCAAGUUACAAUACGCUGGUUUGGUCAUGAAGAAGAUAAUGAAGAUGGAAGCAAACUAAGGUUGCAUUUCAAACACGACAAGGCCACACAGAAAGCAAUGAUGAGAAUCAAUAUAUGA